GGUUCCUUAGCUCAGUUGGUAGAGCAACGGACUCUUAAUCCGUGGGUCGAGGGUUCGAGCCCCUCAGGGACCA
rnacentral:tRNA from 1 species